rnacentral:lncRNA from 1 species
CCUUGAGAAAAAUCAUGUUUCCAUUGUCCAUGACAAUGAAUCAAAGAUCAAAGAUGAAUAAGACUCUAAUUCUCUAACCCCAUUUUUUAGAUUUUUCUUAGUGCAAGGGAUGCAUAGUUGCUUUGCUCUUUGUUCCUUGGCUUCCUUUGCUGCUAAGGAUGAAUGAAACAGUCUACACAGAGAAAGAGGAGUGUAGACCUUGAGGGAUGCAGAAGUUGACUUCCAGUUUGAACUCACAUUUCUAGCUGGUUUACCCUGACCAUGCAUCUUCCUACUACAAGUGCUCUAAAAAUGGAACCACAGAUUUACUGCUGGAGUAUCACACAAUUCAUCCACCAUACGUAUCUUAGAAACACAGUAGGUUCCAAGUAUUAGAACAUACAUUAACUUCUUAAAAAUCUGCCUGUAUUAACCUAUCUAAACAAACACUAGGCCAAGUUGGUAGGAAAGUCACUCACAGACAUACAGAAAACUGAGGGACCAGAGGAUGAUAACCAUGAGACUCUGGGCCUUUGUAAAAAGGCAGCAUUCAGUUGUCACAGUUAAAUAACAUGCCACUGAGACUAUAGAACUGAGGCAAGGAAGACCAAGGAUCAGACUCUGGAGCAAAGUGACCUGAUUGAGGUGCUCUCCUGGUCUGAAAGCCUGGCUCAGAGUCACUUUGCCUUCUCCAGUGGAGUAACAUUCAUCCAACUGUGCACUUUUAUAAAAAAAAUAAAUAAAAAAAAACUUGAGCUGGACAUUGAUUCAUCCAUUUCCUAAGGCUAGAUCUCAGAUGCAUUAACAGACACUAGGCUCCACCCCAAAUUUUUGAAAAUGAAAAAUGAGUCUUUUCCCUGGAUAAAUGGAUGUGACAACCAUUGCAGAAUAAAUUACAAUAGUGGGGGGGGGGUGUCUUGAAAAGAGCCUUUUGGUAUUAUGAGACUCUUAAAAUGACUUAC